UUCUCCAACUAUGAGUUUUCACAUUUGUGGUUCGCGUUGGCACUUCUCCUGCUCUCGUUGGUCCAACACUAGAGGUGAUUGUUUCUACAUUUCUUUUGGCCUGAGCUUUCACAUUUGUGGUUCACAUUCGCAUUUCUCGUGCUCUAGUCGGUCCAAUGAUGGAGGUGAGGAAUCGCAUCAAAGUUACCCUUAUUCUGCUGAUGAUGGUGCCACAAUGAGCUUUGGGUGAAUAUUCAUUGGUGGAGGUGAUUCCAUUUAAGGUGAGUGCCCAUGGUGCAGAAAAAAUAACUUCAUGUUCUGGUUUUGUUAAUUUAGAAGUGAGUUCCCAUGAACCAGUCUUGGGAUAGUCAUAAUAUCCAAACAUCCUAAGGGAAGAAAAAAGAGAAACAAGACUAAAGCUAAGGAAAAGGUCUUUGGUUCAGAAAAAAAAACAAGACGUGAAUUCAGGUGAUCAUGUUGAUGCUUAGCAACAAAGCGGGGCUACCGAUGGGGGAUUUUCUUUAUGCUAUGCUUUCCUACCUUUUGUAAUAGACAUUAUGAUGUUUUAUCCAUUAUGAUGUUUUAUCCAUUAUGAACUUGUAAUAAAGAUGAGACAGUACAAAUGGAUUAUAGCGAGACAAGUUUGAAAUUUCCCGCGCUUGGGAAUUUAUCGUAAUGUUUGAUUUUCUUAAAGUAUAUUUCGUGAAAAAUCAGUUUUAUCUAGUAAUAUCCGUUUGGGGUGUUACAC